UCCCUGAUGGUCUAGCGGUUAGGAUCCUGGCUCACACCCAGGCGGACCGGGUUCAACCCCCGGUCAGGGAG
rnacentral:tRNA from 1 species